rnacentral:lncRNA from 1 species
UUAUAUUCUUUUUUGCAUACUGUCUUCCAAAUAGGGUGUGUAGUUUAUACUUAGAGUACAUCACAACUCCAGCCAGCCAUAUUUCAGGUGUUCAGUAGCCUCUUGGGCGUGGUGAAUACCAAAUCGGUCAGAGCAGGUGUAUAGAGGAGGCUAGACAUGGCGAUCAAAAGUGCAGCCUGCAAUCCAGAUGCUUGAGUUUGAAUAUUGGCCUCAUCACCUUAGCUGUAUGACCUCAUCUGUAAAACAAGAAUACUUAAGUAAUACCAUCCUUAAGCCGUUGGUAUGAGGAUAAAAUAAAAUAGUCCUUGUAAGGCUUUUUGCAAGAAUUCUGGCAAAUAUUGUGCUUAAUAAAUGUUAGCUAGGGUGGUCACUUUAUAAUGCAUGAGCUCUAUACUUAAAAACAUAUGUGGUCCUGAACAAGUUAUCUUACCUCUUUGAAUAUUAGUUUCCUUCUCUGUAAAACAGGGGUGAUAAUAAUACUUCAUUGAGAAGAUUAACUGGUACAAACAUAGCACUUAAUAAAUGUUCGUUUCUUUCUCCUUGACUUUAGGUGCCAAUGAACAGAGAAAUAGCCAAAGGGCUCGCUGAGUGGGAGCAGAGGAUUGAUUUGUUCAGAGUUUUGAAAUUACCAGGGAAGAGCUUUUGAGGAUGUUUGAGAUCCAUGAUUCAAAACAGGGAGGGACACAUGAGUGGCAGGUGACAUCAGAAGCCACCAGCCAUUCCUCAAAUUGCCAGCUCUGGAGCCCUCCAUCCUGCACUAGAAGGAGAUACUGCAAACCCUGCCAAGGUGUUCAUGCUUCUCGUGCUUUAACAUUUCAAAAAGCUCAAUUCCCAAAGACAGUGAAACUGCCACGAAAAACAAAAUGAACUCUGGAUGACAAGGAGGCCCAGUCAUUUCUCCUAUCAAUGGAAAGGGCAAUUUUGAUCAGAGACAAAUAGUACUUGAUUUUACCUAUAGGGACUUAUGACUUAUUCACAGCUCUGACUCCUCUUCUCCACAGGAAUUCAAUAAUGUAAACCUAAUAAUAAAAAAUGACAUAAAAUGAAUGUAAUGAGAACACCCUAAAACUAGUUUCCCUCCUGGCCUAUCUCCAUGUUGCAUCUUUCAGAAAGUGUCAGAAACGAGACUUAAACAAACAAAUAAAAAAAAAAACCCCAAACCAGAACCUAAUGCUGAUGUGAUCGUUUAAAUAAACUAAACACAACUGGAUAAGGAAGCUGUUUUACAAAAAUAAAAAUAGAAAAAAAUUUCUUGACAAGAGGCAUGGAUUAUUCAGGAUCCCUGUGUUAUUCUAAUUGUUUCAGUGCUAUUAGGUGCAUUUUAGGGGAAUGUGGCCCUGAUGGAUAAAUGCACCUUUAAUUCAUUUCUAAGGCAGUGAUGUGAGAUAUAAGACUUUUUUGGGUAGGCACAACCCCAAAAAUGUCAUGUAAAUCUUGAAAAGUUUUUCAUCCAAAAACCCCAAAGGGUUUACUCAUCUCAACAUCUGCAUUUGAUAGGCAGAGGGAGAAGAAUGACUACAAGAGGAAGAUUAUCUGAGAUUAAAACUGGAGACCUCCUAGAGGCUGGGCUCCCAUAGGCACCCUGGCCCAGACCACAGCAGGGAGGGAAUUCCUCCAUUCUGCCUUUGUGCCUCAUCUCCUGAGUUAGAGAUGGUAGCUUAGUUUCCUUUCUUGGUUCCCUUCUGUAUUCCUUACAGAUAAAGAGAUGUUCAAUACACAUGUGUUGGCAGAAUGGCCUCCAUUUUAUAAGAGUGGAGGUGACUUAGCAGGACACAUGCUAUUUAUACAAACAGAAGAACCUAGCAGCACAAACAUGAGUAGGGAUCUCUUUAUUACUGCUCCUGGAGGUGGAUUUAUAGUGAAGUGAAUGAGGGCCCCUCAUGGGCGCAGACUGCUUCCAAGGCCUGGAACCUAACUUUUCAUUUGCAAUUGUGUGUUAUUUUUCUUGAAAAAAGUUUUCAAAUUGCAUGAGUUUCAGGCCUCACAAAACUUGAAUCUGCUGUGGAUUGCUCUUAAAAGCGGUAUACAAACGCCAUCUUGGAUUUUUCACCUGUCAUUAUUUUAACUCCUAGUCAUCCAAAGCAAAUAUAAAUCAAUUAGUUUUGUAGCCAUGGACAAACGAGGCCUGGGUUUCCUCAUUUCUGAAAAUGAAAGGUGAUUGAAUAUGAUUCCUCAGAUCCCAAAAGAGAGCAAUGUAGGGAAGGAGGGCACAGUGAGAAACAGAAGGAGGCAAAGGCUAGGACACCCUGGUGCUGGCUACACUACUAAUAGCUGGCGUAUGACCUUCAGUGAAGAACUUUACCUCUCAGGGCCUCAUUUUCUCUACUAUGAAAUGAGGCAGGCAGACAAGACAUUCUCUAAGGUCCCAUCUUGUCCCAUGAUUCCAGUGCCCUGACUUGUGCAGUGUGUCACCUCUCAUGGCCACUCUCACUGGGUGCUCACAGUAGCCCUGAGACUAGUCAGUGGAACACUCUGGUGAGCUUCAGAAUUCAAAUUCAGUGCUCUUCUUACUAUACCACAUGGGAGAUAUUUUCCAGCUAAACCGUAAACAAGGCUAAUAUCAUUGGUUUGAUGGCCUUCAAAUAUGCACUGUUGUCAUGCCGAGUCAAAGAUGAUAGUCUGACAUAAACCAGCGUUGCAGUGUAGAUGUGGCGAAUGACAAGGGAGUGGCUCCUUUCCCACAAGAGGCACUGGACUUGAAGCUGCAGCUGGUACAGCCCAUCUGCAGGGAAAUGCCAUUUUCUUCUCAUGCCUCUGUUCAAAACUUGAGUCCCACUGCUUACAGCUAGACAAUCAU